rnacentral:rRNA from 1 species
UAACACAUGCAAGUCGAGGGGCAGCAUGGUCUUAUCUUGCUAAGGCCGAUGGCGACCGGCGCACGGGUGAGUAACACGUAUCCAACCUGCCGUCUACUCUUGGACAGCCUUCUGAAAGGAAGAUUAAUACAAGAUGGCAUCAUGAGUCCGCAUGUUCACAUGAUUAAAGGUAUUCCGGUAGACGAUGGGGAUGCGUUCCAUUAGAUAGUAGGCGGGGUAACGGCCCACCUAGUCUUCGAUGGAUAGGGGUUCUGAGAGGAAGGUCCCCCACAUUGGAACUGAGACACGGUCCAAACUCCUACGGGAGGCAGCAGUGAGGAAUAUUGGUCAAUGGGCGAGAGCCUGAACCAGCCAAGUAGCGUGAAGGAUGACUGCCCUAUGGGUUGUAAACUUCUUUUAUAAAGGAAUAAAGUCGGGUAUGGAUACCCGUUUGCAUGUACUUUAUGAAUAAGGAUCGGCUAACUCCGUGCCAGCAGCCGCGGUAAUACGGAGGAUCCGAGCGUUAUCCGGAUUUAUUGGGUUUAAAGGGAGCGUAGAUGGAUGUUUAAGUCAGUUGUGAAAGUUUGCGGCUCAACCGUAAAAUUGCAGUUGAUACUGGAUAUCUUGAGUGCAGUUGAGGCAGGCGGAAUUCGUGGUGUAGCGGUGAAAUGCUUAGAUAUCACGAAGAACUCCGAUUGCGAAGGCAGCCUGCUAAGCUGCAACUGACAUUGAGGCUCGAAAGUGUGGGUAUCAAACAGGAUUAGAUACCCUGGUAGUCCACACGGUAAACGAUGAAUACUCGCUGUUUGCGAUAUACUGCAAGCGGCCAAGCGAAAGCGUUAAGUAUUCCACCUGGGGAGUACGCCGGCAACGGUGAAACUCAAAGGAAUUGACGGGGGCCCGCACAAGCGGAGGAUCAUGUGGUUUAAUUCGAUGAUACGCGAGGAACCUUACCCGGGCUUAAAUUGCAGAUGAAUUACGGUGAAAGCCGUAAGCCGCAAGGCAUCUGUGAAGGUGCUGCAUGGUUGUCGUCAGCUCGUGCCGUGAGGUGUCGGCUUAAGUGCCAUAACGAGCGCAACCCUUGUUGUCAGUUACUAACAGGUUCCGCUGAGGACUCUGACAAGACUGCCAUCGUAAGAUGUGAGGAAGGUGGGGAUGACGUCAAAUCAGCACGGCCCUUACGUCCGGGGCUACACACGUGUUACAAUGGGGGGUACAGAGGGCCGCUACCACGCGAGUGGAUGCCAAUCCCCAAAACCUCUCUCAGUUCGGACUGGAGUCUGCAACCCGACUCCACGAAGCUGGAUUCGCUAGUAAUCGCGCAUCAGCCACGGCGCGGUGAAUACGUUCCCGGGCCUUGUACACACCGCCCGUCAAGCCAUGGGAGCCGGGGGUACCUGAAGUGCGUAACCGCGAGGAGCGCCCUAGGGUAAAACUGGUGACUGGGGCUAAAU